rnacentral:lncRNA from 11 species
GCUUUAUUAACUCUGCAGCAUCCCAUUUAUUUUUUUUCUUUUGGUGGCCUGGUGGAAAGAUCAACAGAUUUUGUCUAACAGGCUACAUUAAGCACAAGUGAUUGCUUGCAUAACACGGCUGUCAAUGAUUUAUAAACUGUGCAGACAGAGCACCAAGCAAUGUCUCGCCCUAAACAAUCAGUUACUCAUUACUUCAUUGUUUCAGCAACUUUCUUGUUUUACCAAUAAUACUGGUCCUACAUAUGUCAUUGCCCUACUUUUUGCACAUGUAAAAAGAUGUGGUUUCCUACAUCUGUUUAAAGUGACUCCUCUUACAGAAAAUGUAGGUGCUGAGUGCCAACAGAAGUGGAGCCAGAACUGGACUGCUAAAUAACAAAAAUCAGAUGUUCCAAUCCUUUUUCCCAUUUCCAUGGCACACAGAGAAGGGACCCAAGAUAGGAUCCAGAGCAACCGAAGUUGCUUCUGGAGUGAGAGAAUUGGCCGUCUGCAAGGACGUUACCCAGGGGAUGCCCGGAUGUUUUGAUGUUUUACCAUCCUUGUGGGAGGCUUCUCUCAUGUCCCCGCAUGGAGCUGGAGCUGAUAGAGGGAGCUCAUCCGCACUCUCCCCAGGUGGGAUUCGAACCUGGCAACUUUCAGGUCAGCAACCCAACCUUCCAGUCACUUAG